GGAAAACACAAUGUGGAAUAGGGAAGGAACGACUAAGAGCACAUCCAUAGGAAAACACAAUGUGGAAUAGGGAAGGAACGACUAACAGCACAUCCAUAGGAAAACACAAUGUGGAAUAGGGAAGGAACGACUAACAGCACAUCCAUAGGAAAACACAAUGUGGAAUAGGGAAGGAACGACUAACAGCACAUCCAUAGGAAAACACAAUGUGGAAUAGGGAAGGAACGACUAACAGCACAUCCAUAGGAAAACACAAUGUGGAAUAGGGAAGGAACGACUAACAGCACAUCCAUAGGAAUACACAAUGUGGAAUAGGGAAGGAACGACUUGUGGUCAGGCUUGUGCCGGAUAGGAAGAUGAGGACCCCAAAUAUACAUCUGAAGAGUAAGAGAGGAGAGUAAACUGAUACAAUGAAAAGAGAGGGAUGAGAGAGGAGAGGUCAUAAUGAGGGAAAUUAUAGUGUGUCUGUGUUGGUGGUGUUUGUGUUGGAGGUGUCUGUGUUGGAGGUGCCUGUGUUGGAGGUGUGUGUCUGUGUUAGAGGUGUCUGUGUUGGAGGUGUCUGUGUUGGAGGUGUCUGUGUUGGAGGUGUGUGUCUGUGUUGGAGGUGUGUGUCUGUGUUGGAGGUAUCAGUGUUGGAGGUGUCUGUGUUGGAGGUGUCUGUGUUGGAGGUGUCUGUGUUGGAGGUGUCUGUGUGAUGUGUGUCUGUGUUGGAGGUGUCUGUGUGGGGUGUGUCUGUGUUGGAGGUAUCUGUGUUGGAGGUGUCUGUGUUGGAGGUAUCUGUGUUGGAGGUGUCUGUGUUGGAGGUAUCUGUGUUGGAGGUAUCUGUGUUGGAGGUGUCUGUGUUGGAGGUAUCUGUGUUGGAGGUAUCUGUGUUGGAGGUGUCUGUGUUGGAGGUAUCUGUGUUGGAGGUGUGUGUCUGUGUUGGAGGUGUGUGUCUGUGUUGGAGGUAUAUGUGUUGGAGGUGUCUGUGUUGGAGGUGUCUGUGUUGGAGGUGUCUGUGUGAUGUGUGUCUGUGUUGGAGGUGUCUGUGUGGGGUGUGUCUGUGUUGGAGGUAUCUGUGUUGGAGGUGUGUGUCUGUGUUGGAGGUAUCUGUGUUGGAGGUGUCUGUGUGGGGUGUGUCUGUGUUGGAGGUAUCUGUGUUGGAGGUGUCUGUGUGAUGUGUGUCUGUGUUCGAGGUAUCUGUGUGGGGUGUGUCUGUGUUGGAGGUAUCUGUGUUGGAGGUGUCUGUGUUGGAGGUAUCUGUGUUGGAGGUGUCUGUGUUGGAGGUGUCUGUGUUGGAGGUAUCUGUGUUGGAGGUGUCUGUGUUGGAGGUAUCUGUGUUGGAGGUGUGUGUCUGUGUUGGAGGUGUGUGUCUGUGUUGGAGGUAUCUGUGUUGGAGGUGUCUGUGUUGGAGGUGUCUGUGUUGGAGGUGUCUGUGUGAUGUGUGUCUGUGUUGGAGGUGUCUGUGUUGGAGGUGUCUGUGUUGGAGGUAUCUGUGUUGGAGGUAUCUGUGUUGGAGGUGUCUGUGUUGGAGGUAUCUGUGUUGGAGGUAUCUGUGUUGGAGGUGUGUGUCUGUGUUGGAGGUAUCUGUGUUGGAGGUGUCUGUGUUGGAGGUGUCUGUAUUGGAGGUGUCUGUGUGAUGUGUGUCUGUGUUGGAGGUGUCUGUGUGGGGUGUGUCUGUGUUGGAGGUAUCUGUGUUGGAGGUGUCUGUGUUGGAGGUGUCUGUGUUGGAGGUGUCUGUGUUGGAGGUGUCUGUGUGGGGUGUGUCUGUGUUGGAGGUGUCUGUGUUGGAGGUGUCUGUGUUGGUGGUGUCUGUGUCGGAGGUGUCUGUGUUGGAGGUGUCUGUGUUGGAGGUGUCUGUGUUGGUGGUAUCUGUGUUGGUGGUGUCUGUGUCGGAGGUGUCUGUGUUGGAGGUGUCUGUGUUGGAGGUGUCUGUGUUGGAGGUGUCUGUGUUGGAGCUGUCUGUGUUGGAGGUAUCUGUGUUGGAGCUGUCUGUGUGGGGUGCAGGGCAUAGCAGAACAGAGAGACACCAGAGAGAGACAGAGGGUAACCUGUAUACUGUUGUCUCUCAGCAGGUAUAAUUGAUGUUAGCAUGGCUAGGCCAACAUUACCACUGUCCUGAACCAUGGAUCUGUCUGUGUGAGGCUGUGGUUACUUCAACAGGUAAUUACAA
rnacentral:lncRNA from 1 species